UGAAUGGUGGAAAACAAAGCAAUUUCUACGAUGUGUAAAGAACUCUUGCUCUCCCUGCCACUUUUCACCUUUUUACAGAGAAACUGGCUUUGGAAAGAACAGGAAACGAUGCCUCUGGAGGUGGUGGUGGAGCUGCAGGUCCGGGCGAUUUCUUGCCCAGGGGUGUUCCUUCCUGGCAAGCAAGAUGUGUACCUUGGGAUCUACUUUCUGAAUCAGUACCUGGAGACAGACAGCUUCCCCCCUGUAUUCCCUCUUAUGAUUCAGCAGAGCAUGAAAUUUGAAAAGGUAUUUGAAAAUGCAAUUGAUCCUGGAACCGUAGCAGAUAUUUUAGAAGGCUUCCUAACCAGGUUUGAGUUAAUACAGCUGGUACCUCCAGUGUGGGAAGAGUUGGCCUAUUAUGAAGAAAACACAAGGGACUUCCUUUUUCCAGAGCCCAGGCUGACAACCCCACACACUGGGCUGUACAGAGAGGUGCUCAUGAAGACAGUUGCGGGGUUCCCAGGUAUUGCUCCCAAAUUAGAGUUUCAUACAUGGACAGCCAUCAGAGAAUGUGCAUUUUUGCAUGAAAACAGAUUUCUUGAAGAAAGAUAUAAGUCACAAAAGCCUUUUUAUACAUCCUGUGGAUCAAAAUUCCACUUAAGUAAUGUAAAGAUGAAGCCAAAGGAGAGUAAUCUGGACAGCCUGCCCGAAGGCAUGCAAUCCUGGGCACCCUCUCCACAUUCCACCAGUCGUUUCCUGCAGGACCAGCCAGCUCAGUUGAACCUUAGAAAUAAUUUCAAAAGCAAACCUCCGUUUGUAGUUAGACAUGUGGACAGUGCAAAGCCCUUUGGUGAGAAUAUUUCAGAUUAUCAUUCCCAGAAGUCUAGAAGAAAAUCUAAUUUUUCAGGCUUUCCAUAUCUGAUGAAAAGAGCUUCUUCUCUUGACAGCCUUGCAGCUAACAUAAAGGUUAUCAAAGAGCCAGAUGAACGGAUUAUUUUAAGGAAUGAAUCACCAUCAACUUUAGAUUCAAGUAAGUUUGGAAAACUCUCGCUCAAUUACAGUAACCAAGGGGAUGCUGAUUUCCACCAGGAAACUUCAUUUGCCACUUCCCAGCACUCCAGGUCUCUCAGUCCUCUUCUGGAUCAGCCCCUUCUCCGAGAAAGCAGGUUCCACCCCAGUUCUCAGUCCACAUGGAAGAAGAUCCAUGAAAGGGUAUUUAAUCUUCUGACAUCCCACAGAGCUCAGAAAUACCUAAACAAGGAAGAUUCUAUUGAUGAAGUAAAUGACGUCUUUGAAAGACCAAGAUACCCUCUGAAGAAAUACCCAGUGCAUGAAGACAGAUAUUUUUAAGCUGCUGCUUAUGGAAGGGAAGCUGAAAGUCGGAGGAGCAUCAUGGAGAACUCAGUCACUGAGUCAAUUGACGCAUCCUUAAAGAAAUGAACAGCAAGUUACUGUCAUGUGUAUCAAACCGCCGGUGUUUAACCCCCUUUAAAUCAAACCCUGUACUCAGUGUUUUGUACCCAGGAACUGACAUUCACUUAAAUAGUACCGUGAACUGAUAUAAAUAUCACACCUGCUUUAGUGGAAUGACUUCUAGGAAUCA